UGGGGAAUAUUGCACAAUGGGGGAAACCCUGAUGCAGCGACGCCGCGUGAAGGAAGAAGUAUCUCGGUAUGUAAACUUCUAUCAGCAGGGAAGAGAUUGACGGUACCUGACUAAGAAGCCCCGGCUAACUACGUGCCAGCAGCCGCGGUAAUACGUAGGGGGCAAGCGUUAUCCGGAUUUACUGGGUGUAAAGGGAGCGUAGACGGACUUGCAAGUCUGAUGUGAAAGGCAGGGGCUCAACCCCUGGACUGCAUUGGAAACUGCAGAUCUUGAGUGCCGGAGAGGUAAGCGGAAUUCCUAGUGUAGCGGUGAAAUGCGUAGAUAUUAGGAGGAACACCAGUGGCGAAGGCGGCUUACUGGACGGUAACUGACGUUGAGGCUCGAAAGCGUGGGGAGCAAACAGG
rnacentral:rRNA from 1 species